GCCGGGCUUCGCUCCCGGCCGGGCCGAGGGAACCCACCGACACCGCCGGCCGACGCCGGGGUCCGGCGGCGGGGCACAGAGCUCGAAACGCUAUCGUCGAAGGCGCUCUGCUGUUAUGUUUUCCACUGAAUCCUAAAUGCCUAAUCCAUAAGCAACAAACUUUCUAAGAGAGUUAAUCUGCUUAUAGGGGGUGGAUGUGGGGGAGAAAAUGAGAAGAAUUGAAUAACCAAGAGCAAAAUAAAUACGUCUGCAGUAUCAGCAACCUCAGGUGUUCAGAGCCAUUAGCGAAGCUCUAAGACUCAUGCCAUUGGAACUCUCAGCAUAAAUAUGGGCUGAUGUCUUCUGCUUAGCACCUGGGGAGAGUACCAUCCCAGGGGAGUGAGCAAGCUCCAGGAUUCAUCUGUCUUCUGCCCCUCCCUCAAGCCAGAGAGUUUCUGUCUCUGAGAAUAUCUCCGAGAACGUGCUCUGGGAUAAGGCUGAUGGUAGCUACCAAAAGCAUUUCUGGGUCUAAUAUUCUCACUAAUGGGGAAAGGGUAUAUUUGCUCUGUAACUUUAAACUGUAUAGCUUUUCAGUAAGUAUGAAAUAGCUUUAAAUAGAAAAAUCAAAGAGUUCACCAUUACAGCAGGUCCUGUGGUUGGUUUUGUUGCUUCACCUACAGCUGCCAUCUGUGAAGGCAUGUGUCUGAGCCAUGUGAUGAUGAAAGAUUCUGCUGUAGGCAAGCAAGUUUUUGUCCUUCCUCUUGGAACAGAAGUGCUUAGUUAUGUGAAUCCUAAAGCCUUAGAAAACCAGAGAAGUAGAGAAGAUGCAUUUGUUUUCUGAUACAGAUACCCCUUGAUUCAAACCCCUCUAUUUUUGAUACUAAUGCUCUAAGCCCUCAAAAACUUUUGCAUCUCUUAACUUCACUACUGCAAUGACUUUUAUAAUCACUCAAUGCACAGAACUAACACAAACAUGUUAAAGUGUCUGUAGGAUUGUGACCAAAGCACAUUUAGAUAUCUUCUGCCCCCUGUCUGCUAAUUAGGAUUGGGUAGCUCUAUUGUGAACCAUGCUCCACAAGCAGAUUAAUAUUUCAAAGGACAUCAUCAGUCUUCUCCAAAAUCUGGUGAUUUCCAGAACUCAGAAAUCACUUUAUCACUUUGGCAAUCUGUACCCAAAAAUAACUAUAAAGAGACAGAGCUUUGUUCCACAAGGACAUUUAUUUCUGGGAUGAUAAGGAAAAAGACCUUUCUUACCUUAGGUGAUAGAUGAGAGUAGAAUUUCAUUAAUUCAUUGGGAUGCACAUAGCUAAGACUGAACUAGUUACACAGAAGUUGUCAAAGCCUUUGUAAACUCUUUCUUAAACCUUUACAUUAUAUCUACAGAAAGUUCAUUUGUGGAAUGAAUUACAAUGAAGUGGAAUGAAUCUAGAAUGAACUGGAGUUAUGCACUGAAGCUAUCCACAGAACACUUCCUGGGUUUUUUUUGGAGUUAGCACUCUCAUCAUGUAUGUAAAGUACACAGCUGCUGAUUAGAAGAUUGCAAAAGGGAUGCAGAAAGUCUUUUUAAACAUACAGAAUGAAAUAGUGUGAGUGGCAUUUUGUGAUUUGUUUUCCAAUUAGGAACGACAUUUAAUUUUUAUGAGUUGAGCUGUUUUUAAGAUAAGAUUUUGUUGGUUCAGGUGCAUAUGCCUAUAACUAUGAUUACUGAUUGUAAUUCUAAGGAUUUUAGGCAGAGAGCAGGCCACAUGGUCCCUUGUGUCUCUUUUCAAUAGUCUCAAUUUUAAUGUGUGAGACUACGCUUAAUGUACAGAAACACAACCCAAAUUUAUUUUUGGUUCCAGUUUUUAUGUAUUCCUAGAUUAUUAAGGAAAAUGUAGGUUUUAGAUCUUCACUGACUCCACUAGUAUUGGAGGUAGACCUUUCUCUUCAAGAAGACAAAGGGAAAACAGAGCUUGUUAUGCAGACCAUAAAUUGUCCUUAAGUCAGUUUUGAGUUAUACAGGCAUUAGCAUUAAUUUGAGUUUUUUUAUAUUGAAAUCCUAUGGUUGAACUAAUAAAAUGUAUUUUUUU